rnacentral:rRNA from 1 species
GACGAACGCUGGCGGCGUGCCUAAUACAUGCAAGUCGAACGCAGUGGGGACGGGUGAGUAACACGUGGGUAACCUCCCAUCAGAGGGGAUAACACUUGGAAACAGGUGCUAAACCGAUACUGAUGGACGGACCCGCGGUGCAUUCGCUAGUUGGUGAGGUAACGGCUCACCAAGGCCACGAUGCAUAGCCGACCUGGGAGGGUGAUCGGCGCCACUGGGACUGGUACACGGCCCAGGCUCCUACGGGAGGCAGCAGUAGGGACUCUUCGGCAAUAGACGGAAGUCUGACCGAGCAACGCCGCGUGAGUUAGGAAGGUUUUCAGAUCGUAAAGCUCUGUUGUAAGAGAAGCGGUAUCUUACCAGAAAGGGACGGCUAACUACGUGCCAGCAGCCGCGGUAAUAC